ensembl:lncRNA
AUCUGAACGUAUCAGGAGGCUUCACACAGAAGGGGAUAUCUGAGCUGGCUUUGGAAAAUAGCAAAUUAACAUUUUUGUCUUGUGGAGACAGAUACAAAGCAUGAGCCCAAAGAAGGAAGCAUAAAAUUCAGGAGCACAUUCAGGUUUGUCACAGUGGAUGGAGGAGUGAGUGGGGGAGGAAGAGGAGGGAAGGCAUACUUAGUUCAGAUGGGCUAUCAGGCGGGCGGGUUGUUCAGAGGUGGGUGCCCUGUGUGGGGAGGCCCUUUGAUUCCUGGGGAGGAAGGCCAGAGAACAGGCAGCUCUUUUCUCUCUGCUAGAAAAGAGGAGGCGGCUCCUCACACGGCUCCUUCCCAUGGCUGAGCACUGCCCAUGGCUGUCCUUGCCCCUGCCUUUACACAUUGCAGAAGCCCAGUACAGGGUGCACGCUGGAUGUGCCCGAGGCCGCCAGAGGGAAGGGAGGAAGGAAAAGGGACUGAAGAAACAUUCACAGUAACUACAUAUGGGCCUGCUACUUGUGUCAAAAUGUGGCUGAACUCUCUUCCAGCAGGCUGCCUGCCCUUUGUCGACUGGAGUCCUGUUUUCCUUGCCUUAGAGGCACUCGGAAGUUUUUCCUCGCUGGACCUGACUGUCUCCUUUUCUUUUGAGACUUCGUGGGAGCUAAAUUUAAACUUGAUUAACAACAUUUAGUCCAAGGAGGGUCAGGAUACUAUUUUCAUGUUAAAUGCUGCUCUUUCGGCCCUCACAAUGAGAUCCCUUCUGAUUUUGUUGCUAUGGUGUGAGAGACAAAACAACAACAACAAAAAAAAAAAACAGCAUAAAACAUUUGAUUGGUUGAUUCUGAUCAGAGGUGGAAAAAGGGAUUAAUACCUCUUUUGUAAAAAUCUAUUGACAGCUCUAUUUGUAAAACCUCACAAAUACUCCUAGUAAUGAUAUUUUUACUCUUUACUAUUGAACUUCAACUUAAUAUUUAGGGCACAGCUUGGAGUCAGUUGCUCAAGGAAACUCCCAGACUCCAGAUCCCAUUCUACAACCACUAACUUAAUUUUUAGCAUUUUCCAAGGUGUGAUUAAAUCAUGAGACUGCAAGUUCCAUUAGUGGAGGCAUAGCAUCUCUUGUGCCCCGCCAAGGGGACUGAAUAUAUAAAUGGACAAUGGCCAGAUCACAUAUGAGAGCAGAACUCCAGUCUUCAACCUCUGCAGCUAUCACUCUUCUAAGCCAAACUAUAACCUCUGGCCUAGAAUGGUCAGCAGAACAGAAUGGUAUGCUCCCCACCCAAAUCACAUAAAGGCACCACUCCCACUCAGCCACCUCAUGCCAGCAUGAGGCUCCCCCCAUGCCAACAGCCUCCAGUCAGAGCAUACCUGAAGCCUUCCUUCUUCUUCACUAGAAAGAUUUGCCAGUCCUCUGCCUGCCUUUGAGUAUCUACCAGAAGGAAGAUACUGUGGCUGAUUUCCUUGCUCUAACAAAUGGAAUAAAUAGCCUCUGUUUGUUCUCAUUUGGGUUGUCUUUAUUUUCAUAACAUAUACUCCCUUGAAAUCAGGAUAGUGUCUAGCAUAUAACAAGCACUUAGGAAAGAUUAUCUGAAUGAACAAAUGAAUAAAUAAAUGACUACACAUUAAUCCAUUUCUGGAUUAGAAUUCUGUCUUCCUGAGAAUCUGGCUUUUUGCCUCACCUCCUUAAGUAUGUGACCUGUGGCCUUGGAAAAGCUACUCCACGUGUCUGGGUACCGUUUUUCUCAACCUGUAAACCAGCAAGUUUGGACCAAAUAAUACCUAUGUUUCAAAAAGUCUCAGAUCCUCACGUUUCAAGUAGCUUUCAUAAAACUUCUCUACCACCAUGAGCACAGGAUGCCAGGAU